UAGGGAAUCUUCGGCAAUGGGGGGAACCCUGACCGAGCAACGCCGCGUGAGUGAAGAAGGUUUUCGGAUCGUAAAGCUCUGUUGUUAAGGAAGAACGAGUGUGAGAAUGGAAAGUUCAUGCUGUGACGGUACUUAACCAGAAAGGGACGGCUAACUACGUGCCAGCAGCCGCGGUAAUACGUAGGUCCCGAGCGUUGUCCGGAUUUAUUGGGCGUAAAGCGAGCGCAGGCGGUUAGAAAAGUCUGAAGUGAAAGGCAGUGGCUCAACCAUUGUAGGCUUUGGAAACUGUUUAACUUGAGUGCAGAAGGGGAGAGUGGAAUUCCAUGUGUAGCGGUGAAAUGCGUAGAUAUAUGGAGGAACACCAGUGGCGAAGGCGACUCUCUGGUCUGUAACUGACGCUGAGGCUCGAAAGCGUGGGUAGCAAACAGG
rnacentral:rRNA from 1 species